GACGAACGCUGGCGGCGUGCUUAACACAUGCAAGUCGAACGGAAAGGCCCUGCUUUUGUGGGGUGCUCGAGUGGCGAACGGGUGAGUAACACGUGAGUAACCUGCCCUUGACUUUGGGAUAACUUCAGGAAACUGGGGCUAAUACCGGAUAGGAGCUCCUGCUGCAUGGUGGGGGUUGGAAAGUUUCGGCGGUUGGGGAUGGACUCGCGGCUUAUCAGCUUGUUGGUGGGGUAGUGGCUUACCAAGGCUUUGACGGGUAGGCGGCCUGAGAGGGUGACCGGCCACAUUGGGACUGAGAUACGGCCCAGACUCCUACGGGAGGCAGCAGUGGGGAAUAUUGCACAAUGGGCGGAAGCCUGAUGCAGCAACGCCGCGUGCGGGAUGACGGCCUUCGGGUUGUAAACCGCUUUCGCCUGUGACGAAGCGUGAGUGACGGUAAUGGGUGAAGAAGCACCGGCUAACUACGUG
rnacentral:rRNA from 1 species